GUUUUUCCUAUUAAUGAGUUGCGGGAUAAUUAUAUAACUGAGACAAGGACGAACGCUUUUUGGGAAGGGCAGCUUUACUUCUAUCCUUGUACGGAGUCUGUGGAAGAAAUCCAGGAAGUCAAUGUAAAGAUGGCUCCAGGGAGGGCUCAUUCACCGCCCCUCAAGUAAGAAAGAAUACAAAGUUUUGGUGAAACUUUGAAGAACCUUAUUGGAAGGGUCCUGAUGUCGUAAAAACGUAGAAACAACAUCAACCAGGGGCUGGUUGUUCAAAGCUGGGUUAGUUUAACCCUAGCCGGUUAACCUAAAAUUCAAAGCAAACUUCCUGACAGCUUGUCUAUAAAUUUUGAAAUAUUUCUUCAGUGAUCUUGUUUGGAUCCAUAGGAGUUUACUUCUCUGAAGUUCUAAAAUAAACAGACGUGCAGAAAUACACAAACUAAAACAGCAGGUUAAAUUUUAACCCAGGGUUAGCGCUAACCCACCUUUGAACAACCAGCCCCAGUACUGUACUUUAUAAUCAG